GCAUAAUAAUUAGGUUUUUAAUUGGGACCUUGUAUGAAAGGUUAAACAAAAGAAUUUCUGUCUUUUUUUUUAAAAUUGAAUUUAACUUUUAAGUGAAAAGGCUUAAAUUUUUUAAGGGGACGAUAAGACCCUAUAAAGUUUUAUAAUGAAAUAAAUCUUUAAAAAUAAAAUUAUAAAUUUAAGAUUGUUCUUUUAUUUUGUUGGGGCGACACGGAUAUAAAUUAAUUAACUGUCAGAAAAAAAACAUAUAUUUAUGAAAGUAAAAUGGUCCUAAAUAUAGAUUAUAAGAUAAAGUUACUUUAGGGAUAACAGCGUAAUUUUUUUCAAGAGUUCUUAUCGAAAAAAAAGUUUGCGACCUCGAUGUUGAAUUAAAAUGUCUUUACAGUGUAGCCGU
rnacentral:rRNA from 1 species